GUGAUAUAGUUCUCAGAAGUUACCACAUCCCAUUUGGAGGCGUUGUGAGUAUUAACUUUGAAGACGAAAUUUUUGGCGAGCGGGAAGAUCUGUGUUUGUUAUUGUUUUGGUCAAGAUAGUAGGUGCUUCGUGGAACUGUAGUGGUAACUCAGUCAUAGGCUUCGUGCUGUUCCGAUUUAUAAGAAACGAAAAGCCGAACGCAAAAUGGGUUGCAAAAUUGUUGGAGAGAGAAUAGGAAACGUAAUAUACAUUGACAUUCUGGGAGGCAAUCACUGAAGUGUUUAACGAUGAAACUUGCUAAAAGCAGAAGGUGACAUGCAGCUAAACAGUAGAUACUGUGAGAAAUUUUUUCAUUUGCAAAACAGGAUACUGAAGUAGCAGAAAGAUAUCGCAACUUCAGUAGUACCACAACAGAACAACUACAGGAGCGAAAUGUACACCUCGCCACUCCAAAUUGGGGCCCAGCUCAUCGCCAGACUGCAGAAGGACGUCUCUGUGAAAUAGGAUACCCUGGACUGUAUUUAAGCUCUUAUGGGGUGUGAUGGUUACAGAAACAUCCGCCAGCUUGUCACAAGCUAGUAAUGUUGGUGACUGGGCUGAGGAUACUGUUUUGAUCAAGACUGACCCACAUCUCGUUUUGGACAAUCGCUCCACCACUCCAAAUGCUCCACAAAAAACUGAGGCUUCAUUGUCAUGAAAGACUGCCCAUCAGCUCUCGAACAUACAAGGUACCGUGGCGAAUAAGUUCCGCUGCCAUCCUUAGCCUGAUGUUCCU